rnacentral:rRNA from 1 species
UACGGGGGGGGCAAGCGUUGUUCGGAAUUACUGGGCGUAAAGGGCGCGUAGGCGGCCAUCUAAGUCAGACGUGAAAUCCCCCGGCUUAACCUGGGAACUGCGUCUGAUACUGGAAGGCUUGAGUAUGGGAGAGGGAUGUAGAAUUCCAGGUGUAGCGGUGAAAUGCGUAGAUAUCUGGAGGAAUACCGGUGGCGAAGGCGGCAUCCUGGACCAUUACUGACGCUGAGGCGCGAAAGCGUGGGUAGCAAACAGG